rnacentral:pre_miRNA from 12 species
UGGGGCUGUUCAAUUUUUGAUAUUCAGACGGUGGAUGUUCCUUCUAUGUUUACGGGAUUUAUAGUUAAUCAUAGAGGAAAAUCCACGUUUUUGGUAUUUGAAGUUGGUUUUAAAACAC